rnacentral:rRNA from 1 species
CCCUCUCUCUGGGAUAGCCUCGAGAAAUCGUGGGUAAUACCGGAUACUCCGGAUCCAUCGCAUGGUGGAUCCGGGAAAGCUCCGACGGUGAGGGAUGGGCCCGCGGCCUGUUAGCUUGUUGGUGGGGUAAUGGCCCACCAAGCCGAUGAUCGGUACGGGUUGUGAGAGCAAGGGCCCGGAGAUGGAACCUGAGACAAGGUUCCAGACCCUACGGGGUGCAGCAGGCGCGAAACCUCCGCAAUGUACGAAAGUGCGACGGGGGGAUCCCAAGUGUUAUGCUUUUUUGUAUGACUUUUCAUUAGUGUAAAAAGCUUUUAGAAUAAGAGCUGGGCAAGACCGGUGCCAGCCGCCGCGGUAACACCGGCAGCUCGAGUGGUAGCUGUUUUUAUUGGGCCUAAAGCGUUCGUAGCCGGUUUGAUAAGUCUUUGGUGAAAGCUUGUAGCUUAACUAUAAGAAUUGCUGGAGAUACUAUUAGACUUGAAGUCGGGAGAGGUUAGAGGUACUACCGGGGUAGGGGUGAAAUCCUAUAAUCCUGGGAGGACCACCUGUGGCGAAGGCGUCUAACUGGAACGAUCUUGACGGUGAGUAACGAAAGCCAGGGGCGCGAACCGGAUUAGAUACCCGGGUAGUCCUGGCCGUAAACGAUGUGGACUUGGUGUUGGAAUGGCUUUGAGUUGUUCCGGUGCCGAAGGGAAGCUGUUAAGUCCACCGCCUGGGAAGUACGGUCGCAAGACUGAAACUUAA